CCUACGGGAGGCAGCAGUGGGGAAUUUUACACAAUGCGGGAAAGCGUGAUGCAGCAACGCCGCGUGAGUGACGAAGUAUUUCGGUAUGUAAAGCUCUAUCAGCAGGGAAGAAGAAAGACGGUAGCUGACUAAGAAGCAUCGGCUAACUACGUGCAAGCAGCCGCGGUAAUACGUAGGGGGCAAGCGUUGGCCGGAUUUACUGGGUGUAAAGGGUGCGUAGUCGGCUGUGCAAGUCUGUAGUUAAAGACCGUGGCUCAACCUCGGAACUGCUUUGGAAACUAUAUAGCUUGAGUAUCGGAGAGGCAGGCAGAAUUCCUAGUGUAGCGGUGAAAUGCGUAGAUAUCAGGAGGAACACCAGUAGCGAAGGCGGCCUUCUGGAUAGAAACUGACGCUGAGGCGCGAAAGCGUGGGGAGCAAACAGGAUUAGAUACCCCGGUAGUC
rnacentral:rRNA from 1 species